UUACACAUGCAAGUCGAACGAUGAAGCCCAGCUUGCUGGGUGGAUUAGUGGCGAACGGGUGAGUAACACGUGAGUAACCUGCCCUUAACUCUGGGAUAAGCCUGGGAAACUGGGUCUAAUACCGGAUAGGAGCGUCCACCGCAUGGUGGGUGUUGGAAAGAUUUAUCGGUUUUGGAUGGACUCGCGGCCUAUCAGCUUGUUGGUGAGGUAAUGGCUCACCAAGGCGACGACGGGUAGCCGGCCUGAGAGGGUGACCGGCCACACUGGGACUGAGACACGGCCCAGACUCCUACGGGAGGCAGCAGUGGGGAAUAUUGCACAAUGGGCGCAAGCCUGAUGCAGCGACGCCGCGUGAGGGAUGACGGCCUUCGGGUUGUAAACCUCUUUCAGUAGGGAAGAAGCGAAAGUGACGGUACCUGCAGAAGAAGCACCGGCUAACUACGUGCCAGCAGCCGCGGUAAUACGUAGGGUGCGAGCGUUAUCCGGAAUUAUUGGGCGUAAAGAGCUCGUAGGCGGUUUGUCGCGUCUGUCGUGAAAGUCCGGGGCUUAACCCCGGAUCUGCGGUGGGUACGGGCAGACUAGAGUGCAGUAGGGGAGACUGGAAUUCCUGGUGUAGCGGUGGAAUGCGCAGAUAUCAGGAGGAACACCGAUGGCGAAGGCAGGUCUCUGGGCUGUAACUGACGCUGAGGAGCGAAAGCAUGGGGAGCGAACAGGAUUAGAUACCCUGGUAGUCCAUGCCGUAAACGUUGGGCACUAGGUGUGGGGACCAUUCCACGGUUUCCGCGCCGCAGCUAACGCAUUAAGUGCCCCGCCUGGGGAGUACGGCCGCAAGGCUAAAACUCAAAGGAAUUGACGGGGGCCCGCACAAGCGGCGGAGCAUGCGGAUUAAUUCGAUGCAACGCGAAGAACCUUACCAAGGCUUGACAUGUUCUCGAUCGCCGUAGAGAUACGGUUUCCCCUUUGGGGCGGGUUCACAGGUGGUGCAUGGUUGUCGUCAGCUCGUGUCGUGAGAUGUUGGGUUAAGUCCCGCAACGAGCGCAACCCUCGUUCCAUGUUGCCAGCACGUCGUGGUGGGGACUCAUGGGAGACUGCCGGGGUCAACUCGGAGGAAGGUGAGGACGACGUCAAAUCAUCAUGCCCCUUAUGUCUUGGGCUUCACGCAUGCUACAAUGGCCGGGAAC
rnacentral:rRNA from 1 species